UGUUGUUAGGGAAGAACAAGUGCUAGUUGAAUAAGCUGGCACCUUGACGGUACCUAACCAGAAAGCCACGGCUAACUACGUGCCAGCAGCCGCGGUAAUACGUAGGUGGCAAGCGUUAUCCGGAAUUAUUGGGCGUAAAGCGCGCGCAGGUGGUUUCUUAAGUCUGAUGUGAAAGCCCACGGCUCAACCGUGGAGGGUCAUUGGAAACUGGGAGACUUGAGUGCAGAAGAGGAAAGUGGAAUUCCAUGUGUAGCGGUGAAAUGCGUAGAGAUAUGGAGGA
rnacentral:rRNA from 1 species